GGGCCACGGGGAAUGCCUUACNUAACGGCGAGUGAAGCGGCAAAAGCUCAAAUUUGAAAUCUCGGUGCCCGAGUUGUAAUUUGGAGAGGGCAACUUUGGGGCCGUUCCUUGUCUAUGUUCCUUGGAACAGGACGUCAUAGAGGGUGAGAAUCCCGUGUGGCGAGGAGUGCGGUUCUUUGUAAAGUGCCUUCGAAGAGUCGAGUUGUUUGGGAAUGCAGCUCUAAGUGGGUGGUAAAUUCCAUCUAAAGCUAAAUAUUGGCGAGAGACCGAUAGCGAACAAGUACAGUGAUGGAAAGAUGAAAAGAACUUUGAAAAGAGAGUGAAAAAGUACGUGAAAUUGUUGAAAGGGAAGGGCAUUUGAUCAGACAUGGUGUUUUGUGCCCUCUGCUCCUUGUGGGUAGGGGAAUCUCGCAUUUCACUGGGCCAGCAUCAGUUUUGGUGGCAGGAUAAAUCCAUAGGAAUGUAGCUUGCCUCGGUAAGUAUUAUAGCCUGUGGGAAUACUGCCAGCUGGGACUGAGGACUGCGACGUAAGUCAAGGAUGCUGGCAUAAUGGUUAUAUGCCGCCCGUCUUGAAACACGACCCU
rnacentral:rRNA from 1 species